AUUGAACGCUGGCGGCAGGCCUAACACAUGCAAGUCGAGCGGAUGAAGGGAGCUUGCUCCUGGAUUCAGCGGCGGACGGGUGAGUAAUGCCUAGGAAUCUGCCUGGUAGUGGGGGAUAACGUCCGGAAACGGGCGCUAAUACCGCAUACGUCCUGAGGGAGAAAGUGGGGGUUCUUCGGCCUUCACGCAUCCAGAUGACCCUAGGUCGGAUUAGCUAGUUGGUGGGGUAAAGGCCUACCAAGGCGACGAUCCGUAACUGGUCUGAGAGGAUGAUCAGUCACACUGGAACUGAGACACGGUCCAGACUCCUACGGGAGGCAGCAGUGGGGAAUAUUGGACAAUGGGCGAAAGCCUGAUCCAGCCAUGCCGCGUGUGUGAAGAAGGUCUUCGGAUUGUAAAGCACUUUAAGUUGGGAGGAAGGGCAGUAAGUUAAUACCUUGCUGUUUUGACGUUACCAACAGAAUAAGCACCGGCUAACUUCGUG
rnacentral:rRNA from 1 species